rnacentral:lncRNA from 1 species
CCUAAAGAAAAAUAAUGUUUUUGCUUGAUUAGAACAGACUCCAUGUAGCCUCAAGUUCGUUUUCUCUAUGGUUAGAUUUGUGUAACAAUAUCGUAGGUGUUGGUAUGUGUACCAGUGAGUUUGUUAUUUUUUUAGUCAAUUUGUUUGUUAGGGUGAAUGUGUUCAGCUUAUAUUGUUAUUGCAGACUGCAUAAAUUGUGUGAAAAGAUUUAUAUUGAAAGCUCUAAUGAACUGUUUACUUUCUUCGUCAUUUUUAUACUACCGCAAAAAAAAAUUUGCCUUCAUAUAAUGGUAUGAUGUCGUCGUCUGUGUAGUCCAAAGACACAUUUGGUGUCCGGACAAUAUCUUUUGUUUAAGUGAAUUGAUCUCUAUGAAAUUUAAUAAAAAGGUUCUAUACCUCAAAAGGAAGGUUGGGAUUGAUUUUGGGGAUAAUGUUCCAAACUGUUUUGGAAUUAGGGGCCCAAAAGGGGACCAAAACAAGUAUUUUUCUACUUUCAGGAUAUCAACUUGUGUAUUAGUAUUUCAAUUGCUCUGAAAUUGUACCACAAUGUUUAAUACCACAGGUAAAAAGUUUAGAUUAAUUUUGAGGGUUAUGGUCCCAAAGGUUUAGGAAUUAGGGGCCAAAAAGGGGGCCCAAAAUAAGCAUUUUUGUUUUCAAACAAUAACUUGUAUUUAAGUGUAUGAAUCUCUCUGAAAUUAUACCACAGGUCUCCAUACCAUGAAGGGAUGGUUAGUAUUGACUUUUGGGGGUUAUGGCUCAAAAUGUUUUGGAAUUAGGGGCAAAAAAAGGGGAAAAAUUAGGUUUUUGGUCAAUGGACAAUUAAGACAAUUUUAAAGCAGUGUAAUGGAGGUAACUCAAAACAUUUAAUAUACAAUGUUGGGUAUGUUCGGAUUUACCUCUUACACUACUUGUAAAGUAUGUUUAAAGAAAUGUUAGGUUUUGGACUAAUUGCAAAAAAAAGGGGGAUGGUAGUAGUUUUCAAUUUUUUUUUCCAAAUUUUUGUAAAGUUUGAAGAAGAAAUCUUCAAUUGAACAAUAAUUGCACAAUAUUGUGCAAUAGAUUUGUAAGAUCUUGACAUUUGUUUUGUGUCAGAAACUCAAAUUAUGUCAAAAAUUUAAUCACAAUCCACAUGCAGAGCUGUAUCAAGCUUGAAUGUUGUGUCCAUACUUUCCCCCUGAACUGUUCAGGGUUCAACCUCUGCGGUUGUAUAAAGCUGCACCCUGCGGAGCACCUGGUUUUACCUUAGAAAAUAUUUUGACCCUACAUUUUUAGAUAAUAGUAUCGGGAUGAGUUAAGUUAAACAUUAAACAAAAUAGUGAUAGUUAUUUGAAAUUGCUGAGUUUACAUAGAAAAAGGAAAGACUUUCAUUAAUUGAAUAAGAAUUACACAAAAAUUCACAAAAUAUAUACAAAGGUCACAUAAGCAUUAAUAUUUUAUUAUUGUUUAUUUAUAUUUCUGUACAUGUAUUCCUAAAAUGAGAUUAAUUACACUUAAUUUUAAUUACUAUUUAUUCAGAAAUUUUUGUUUGCAUUAAUUAUUGUGAUGUUUAAUCAAUGAAC